UUAAAUUGAAGAGUUUGAUCAUGGCUCAGAUUGAACGCUGGCGGCAGGCCUAACACAUGCAA
rnacentral:rRNA from 60 species